AGGAGUUUUCCAAACGUGACAAAGUACGUGGUCAUCGCAGUUGUGUUGGGAUUUUCUUCUGUGGCCCUGUUUGCUGCCAUAUGUAUAUGGAAAAGCAGAAGUAAAACCAGAAAGAACGAGCAGACUGUGCCAGACGAUACAGAAAAUCCCGCACCUCCCACAAAGAUUCACGGAGGAGAUGAAACGAUUAUCUACGCCACUCUGAAGAUUCAACCAUCCACUGUGCCUGUUGAAAGUGCUGCCAACUUGAGUGAUGUUUCGGAAUCCGUGGAGUAUUCUGCCAUUGUGUUCCCAUCCUACCACGGUUACUAAAAACUGUUCCAGAGAAGUCAAGCAGGAAUUCAACAGCUUCUUUUGAGUUUCGCGAAGAAUUCAUUUGAGGGGGAACGGGUGUUAUUACAGUGUAGGUUUACUUAUUAAUUUCUUUUUAAAACAUUGGGAGCGGACUGUAGAGGUCUUUUCAGUUCCUGUAGAUUCCUACCUUGCCAAGUUUUACUGCUAGUAAUAAUAAAACUUAAGAUACAAACUAUGUUUUAAGAUGUCUCGAAGACA